CACAGUUCCCUGCUUUUGCUCAUUUACAUGUUGCUCCUUAAAAGAAAUAGCAAGCAAUAUGAGAACGGACCAUGCGGUCCACAAGACUACGCCUGUGUGAGAAGCUGGGAACUAGAUUCAGGUUCACGGGCGUAUGAUGCGGCACAACAGAACUUACAACCCAGCAGCAACAAACCUAAUAUCCGCCCUGAUCCUUUGAACACAUGUGGAAAAUAUUUGGACCCUGGGCAAUGCUUGGCUACC